rnacentral:rRNA from 1 species
AUGAACGCUGGCGGCGUGCCUAAUACAUGCAAGUCGAGCGAACGGACGAGAAGCUUGCUUCUCUGAUGUUAGCGGCGGACGGGUGAGUAACACGUGGAUAACCUACCUAUAAGACUGGGAUAACUUCGGGAAACCGGAGCUAAUACCGGAUAAUAUUUUGAACCGCAUGGUUCAAAAGUGAAAGACGGUCUUGCUGUCACUUAUAGAUGGAUCCGCGCUGCAUUAGCUAGUUGGUAAAGUAACGGCUUACCAAGGCAACGAUGCAUAGCCGACCUGAGAGGGUGAUCGGCCACACUGGAACUGAGACACGGUCCAGACUCCUACGGGAGGCAGCAGUAGGGAAUCUUCCGCAAUGGGCGAAAGCCUGACGGAGCAACGCCGCGUGAGUGAUGAAGGUCUUCGGAUCGUAAAACUCUGUUAUUAGGGAAGAACAUAUGUGUAAGUAACUGUGCACAUCUUGACGGUACCUAAUCAGAAAGCCACGGCUAACUACGUG